ACGACCGGCGCACGGGUGAGUAACGCGUAUGCAACCUACCUUUGGCACGGGGACAGCCCGGGGAAACCCGGAUUAAUACCCGGUAUAGUCUAUUAUACACCUGUAUAAAAGACGAGAGCUACGGCGGCCAAAGAUGGGCAUGCGUGCCAUUAGUUAGUUGGUAGGGUAACGGCCUACCAAGGCAUCGAUGGCUACGGGGUCUAAAAGGAUGAGCCCGCACACUGGUACUGAGACACGGACCAGACUCCUACGGGAGGCAGCAGUGAGGAAUAUUGGUCAAUGGGUGGAAGCCUGAACCAGCCAUGCCGCGUGCAGGAAGACGGCCUUAUGGGUUGUAAACUGCUUUUCUACGGGACGAACGGCUCUGACGUGUCAGAGAUUGACGGUACCGUAGGAAUAAGCAUCGGCUAACUCCGUGCCAGCAGCCGCGGUAAUACGGAGGAUGCGAGCGUUAUCCGGAUUUAUUAGGUUUAAAGGGUGCGUAGGCUGGGCAAUAAGUCAGUGGUGAAAGUCCGCGGCUCAACCGUGGGAUUGCCAUUGAAACUGUUGUUCUUGAGUACAGUCGAGGUAGGCGGAAUGUGUAAUGUAGCGGUGAAAUGCAUAGAUAUUACCCAGAACACCGAUUGCGUAGGCAGCUUACCAGCCUGGAACUGACGCUGAUGCACGAAAGCGUGGGGAGCGAACAGGAUUAGAUACCCUGGUAGUCCACGCCGUAAACGAUGAUCACUCGCUGUUGGCAAUAUAGAGUCAGCGGCUGAGCGAAAGCAUUAAGUGAUCCACCUGGGGAGUACGUCGGCAACGAUAAAACUCAAAUGAAUUGACGGGGGCCCGCACAAGCGGUGGAACAUGUGGUUUAAUUCGAUGAUACGCGAGGAACCUUACCUGGGCUUAAAUGUAGCCGGACGAUUCCGGAAACGGG
rnacentral:rRNA from 1 species